rnacentral:rRNA from 1 species
GAUGAACGCUGGCGGCGUGCCUAAUACAUGCCAGUCGAGCGAACAGACGAGGAGCUUGCUCCUCUGACGUUAGCGGCGGACGGGUGAGUAACACGUGGAUAACCUACCUAUAAGACUGGGAUAACUUCGGGAAACCGGAGCUAAUACCGGAUAAUAUAUUGAACCGCAUGGUUCAAUAGUGAAAGACGGUUUUGCUGUCACUUAUAGAUGGAUCCGCGCCGCAUUAGCUAGUUGGUAAGGUAACGGCUUACCAAGGCGACGAUGCGUAGCCGACCUGAGAGGGUGAUCGGCCACACUGGAACUGAGACACGGUCCAGACUCCUACGGGAGGCAGCAGUAGGGAAUCUUCCGCAAUGGGCGAAAGCCUGACGGAGCAACGCCGCGUGAGUGAUGAAGGUCUUCGGAUCGUAAAACUCUGUUAGUAGGGAAGAACAAAUGUGUAAGUAACUAUGCACGUCUUGACGGUACCUAAUCAGAAAGCAACGGCUAACUACGUG